GGUGGAUUGACCUAAGCCUGAGAACAUUAAGCUUCCCAUCCUUUCCAGAAGCAAAGGUGUAUUCCAACAGUUCAGACCACUUCAGCUAUUCUUGCAUGAAGAAUGUGCUGAAGAUUAUUUCAUCCUGAAUUUUGUUGUGAUCUAGAAACAUGGAGAAAGAACUACAAGAACAACCACGUUUCUUUUCAGUGAUGUCCUUGUGUAACAUGGAGCUUUUAUUUUAACUUGAAAAUUCAUUCAGGCAUGAUUUAGGGUUAUUGAAGUAGUAAGAUCUGCUAGAAGACAAUGGAAGCAAAAAGAAGAAAUUAGAGCAGAAGAAAAUGAGGAACAGAGAAUGUGGAAAAAUUCCAGGAAUGAGAAAGAGACAGAAAACACAGAAGAAAGGCGGUAUAGACAGAAAAGAAAACUGUCUUUAACUAUUAUUGAGCAGGUUUAUGCAGUCUGAGACAGUGAUACAAAUAGCUACUCAGAUUCUGCAGUGUGUACGCUGGGUGAUAUAUGUUAACCUGAUAUACAGUCUGGUGAAUUUUGCAUACCUUUGAAGUCCACAGAGAAAAACUAUUAAAUUACUGUGACUUCUUUGAUAUACGAUAUUUCAUUAAUGGAAACUGAGAAUCCAAACAAAUGGAAGAUCAAGUGGUCCAUAACUAAAUGGAGCACUACAGAAGGAUAAAAUGAACCAGACUGGGCUGGAGGGAUUAUAUGCUGACAUAGGCCUCCACAGAAAACUGCUUUGUGGUCUUUCCGUAUGGCAUCACAGAAAAAGGAAUAAUUAUUCAGUUUGAAACUCCUGAGUGAUUUGUCAGAAUUAGUCUGAUAAACAUCACUGAACAUCUCUCACUGGUUGGUUGAAGAACUGAGCAAUGCUAAGUCUUUGAGUCCUCCUGAGGGAAGUAGUAGUUAAAGAAGAUGUGGAAGAUAAGUAAAAGAGGAAAUUUUAUAUAGCUGUAAUCCUUUUGCUUUCUUUUCUGCAGAAGAUUUGCCUAAGGAAUAAUUGUAAGAAAAAAUAGAUUACUGCAAGGU
rnacentral:lncRNA from 7 species